GUUUCGUUGCUAUAUUUUAGUGUGCGUAAAGGAACGAAAUUCAAAACGGUUAAUGUAUCGGAGUUACGUUUCCUUAGUUUUUACUUUUUAUUAUUCGUAGUGUAUUUGAUUAAAA